rnacentral:rRNA from 1 species
GAUGAACGCUGGCGGCGUGCCUAAUACAUGCAAGUCGAGCGGACGGACGAGAAGCUUGCUUCUCUGAUGUUAGCGGCGGACGGGUGAGUAACACGUGGAUAACCUACCUAUAAGACUGGGAUAACUUCGGGAAACCGGCGCUAAUACGGGAUAAUAUUUUGAACCGCAUGGGUCAAAAGUGAAAGACGGUCUUUGUGGCACGUCUAGAGGGAUCCGCGCUGCAUUAGGUAGUUGGGCAGGUAAAGGCUUUCCAAGGCAAGUAUGCGUAGACGACCGGAGGGGCUGAUCGGCCACACUAGAACUGAGCCACCGUCCAGACUCCUGCGGGACGCAGCAGUAGGGAAUCUGCCGCAAUGGGCGAAAGCAUGACAGAGCAACGCCGCGUCAGUGACGAAGGUCUUCGGAUCGUAAAACUCUGUUAUUAGGGAAGAACAUAUGUGUAAGUAACUGUGCACAUCUUGACGGUACCUAAUCAGAAAGCAACGGCUAACUACGUG